rnacentral:rRNA from 1 species
GCCGUGAGGUGUCAGGUUAAGUCCUAUAACGAGCGCAACCCCUGUUGUUAGUUGCCAGCGAGUCAAGUCGGGAACUCUAACAAGACUGCCAGUGCAAACUGUGAGGAAGGUGGGGAUGACGUCAAAUCAGCCCGCCCUUACGCCUUGGGCUAUACACGUGCUACAAUGGCCGGUACAGAGAGCAGCCACUGGGUGACCAGGAGCGAAUCUAUAAAACCGGUCACAGUUCGGAUCGGAGUCUGCAACCUAAGCUCCGUGAAGCUGGAAUCGCUAGUAAUCGGAUAUCAGCCAUGAUCCGGUGAAUACG